UUCUGUUACCAAAAUUCUAAGAUCCGAAUUUCCAGACCUUAAAUUCUGUACUGUCAUUCUAACAUGAUUCCAUAAAUCAAAGGAUGUGAUUCUCUACGAUUGUAUUUCUAUGGCUUGAAACUUUCGAUCAAAGUCCCUAUAGGGGGAUACUUUUUAAAAGUUUGUGGAAAAUAGAAUUAAAAGAUAAGUUAAUUUUUGUGCAAAAAAUAUUGAAAUCUAUGCAUAGUUUUUUUCCUCCAUGAUACAUGUUUUCCAUGAACUUUUGGAAGACCCCUGUAUAGUAAAAUGCUGGGACUAAGGUGCUGCCUUUGAAAACACAUAUGAUGCCACUACUGCAGCCUGCUGCUUCUCCAGUUUUAGAUAUUUUUUAAGGUCUAAAGUUUAUGUUAUUUAAAUGAAUUCCUGUUCAGGAACAUCUGGAAGAUUUGGAGCCUAUAAAUCCACAACUCUUCACUUCCUUAAUGCCAAAGUGUUAGUGCUAAGAUCCAUUAUUUAUUGCGGUAAUAUUUAUGACUGUAUGCUUUGAUAAUCGGUCCUGGGACCUCAUGGUUCUCUAUGGUUAACUUCCAGUGCCUCUAGGUAAAAGCCGCACAUCUCAGGAUUUCCUGCCCCCCACCCUGGUCUUGUGACCCCCAUUCUCCUGGAAUUCGGAUUCCUCCUUGUCCGAGUGUUGCUAUACCUGUGCUCCAGAUUUAGCAUCCAAGAUUGGGAUUCUAAGAUUUUCAUGGACAAAAGACCCCUAAGAAUCUAGUCCCUAGGAGUUUGUUCAGAUCAAACCAUGCAUUUCAAAAGAACCUGUACCUUGGAGAUUCCAUGACUACACCAGGGAACAGUUGGAUUCCCUGAUUUGCUGAGUCCAGAGAUCAUGAGUUAACCCGUUUAGAUCAAAACCAGACUUAAAAAUCUCCUGCGUUCUAGGGUGUUUCCUGCUUUCCCUUUGCUUCCUUGUGUGUUUCCUGAAUAGGGGGCAGGGUGGUCCUGGUCCCCGGCCCCCUUCUCUGCCACAGUGCUUCUUAUCGUUUGUGGGGUCACAGACUCCACUGAAAAUCAUCUGGUGGAAUCCGCCCCUUGAAAGUCACUCUCCCAGUGCAGCAGGGGCGGGUUGACGCUGCUGCGAGUGCAGCAGGUGCUUCCAGUCUGGUUCCCUUGAGUCUUCAGCCCUGCACGCACGCCUUGGGGAAACCUGCCCCAUGGUAGUUUUAGGCGCAUUUGUGGAGUGGGGUGGUGGAGCAUGUUCCUGGGGAUCUGUAGAAUAUACUGGAAGCUCUUCUGUAACAGCUACUUUCUUCACUUUUAAAGAUUAUCCUCCCCCCCCCCCGCCCUGCCGCUGCCCCUGGAAUCCAAGGAGUUAGGGAAAAUUCCUUUACAUCCCACAUCCAGAUGCAAUGCAGAGGUAACCACUUUUCUGCUUAAGGAACUCUUGGAAAUGAGAGCCGGGAGGAGACUGGCCUGUGGAAGGGACUUACUUGGAAUCUUGGAGAGGGAGGCAUCGGGCUAAGCCGGGAAACAGGAUUUGAACCCUUUGGAUUUGAAGCCUGCCUGCCUUUGCUCAAGUUCUCAGAGCCUCCCUGGUUCUUAAUUCUCUAGCCUGGACCACUCCCCUUAGCCAGCAACCGUGGAAACCUCAGGCCUUGCACUUGCAGAUCUGAUUCCAUAAUCUCCAACGUCUGUCCCCGUUACUCUGGGUCAGUGGGUGGUUUCCAGAGAACGCCAGAGUGAGACAGUGCCCCAAUGGGAGCCCUGUGUCGUCCACCCCUCAGCCCUGCCCUGAACCGCAGAACCUGGCACAGCUGCACCUGCCCCGGUUCUCAGUGCUGGGGCUGUAGAGGGCUCAUAAUGGGCCCGGGGCUGGGAGCUAUCCUCUGCCCUUCGGAGGCCUCAGUUUUCCCUUCUGUGAAGUGGGAGAUCCUUAUCUGUUCUUUAGAGGAUGGAGUGAGGCACAUUGCCAACCUGCCAUUGUUUUCUUCAUCCUUUAAGGGUGGAAUACGGGAAAUUGACAAGCCGCCUCAGGAAAUUCGAACCUGCCCCACUUGCCGCUGCAAUGAGAUGCCCCUGGGAAGAAGCAGUGGUUGGUUAAAGCAAAGUGUUUCCCGCAGGGGGCCUGGCCAGGGACUUGGAGCCUCAGCUUCCCCCUCCCCUGCCCAGCGGGUGUGGACUCUCCCAGUGCUACCCUGAACUUCAAGCGUCUUCUCUCCAUUGGUGCACUUUGACACUGCAAACAGGAUUACCAUCCCGCAACGGGGGCGGGGCCGGAGCGGGGAGUCUCUGGCUUCCCACUCUGGCUUCGCUGGGACCAGGCGACUGGCCUCCCGCUUGACCAAAAGGAAGCACCUCGGCUCAGGAACAUGCAUAGGUGCUCUCUGUUUCCGGACACAUCUCUGCAGUCACUCCUUCCCAACUGGAGCCUGCUGGGUGUGGAAGAAGGUGUGACUGCGGCUGGAGUCCCUUCAUGGGAUGUCACCCUGGGCAGAUGGUGUGUGUGUGUCUCCCUGCCUUCCCUGAGCCCUGGCCAGAUUUCCCACUACACAUACUACUGGUUUGUGCAGCGGCCUUUGAUCGCGUGGGCAUUGGCUGGCCUGAGAUGAUUGACAUCGGCUUUACCCAAUGAGUGAGCAAGACCGUCGAGGCGCAGACAUGUCACCUCAGUGCUGCUGUUCCUCAUGAAGGCUGUGCACAGUGUCAGUCAUCCUGUCACCAACGACAGCGUCACAGAAGCAGAGUGCGAACCGGCGCUGGUGACCGUGGGAGGCAGCAGAGAAGUCCCCCCCCACACACAACCGUCACCAAGCAUCGUUCUUUGGUGCAUGCCGAUUGAUAUUUGCGUUUAUGCUCACAAAGAAGGCAAAAAUGGGGGAAAAAUAAAGGAAGACGUAUGGUGGAACUUGUUCAUGAAUGACUUGGGCAACUUUUUGGCUGAUCAGAUAAUUGGUUCAAACGUUAGAAUUUCCUUGUUUUAAAAAUGCUUUAUUCAGGGCUGGCGCUUGUAGGCUAAGCCUCUGCCUGUGACGCCGGCAUCCCAUAUGAGCGCCAGUUCGAGUCCCAGCUGCUCCUCUUCCGAUCCAGUUCUCUGCUAUGGCCUGAGAAAGCAGCAGAAGAUGGGCCAACUACUUGGGCUCCUGUACUUGCACGGGAAGACCCGGGAGAAACUCCUGGCUCCUGGCUUCGGAUUGGUGCAGCUCUGGCUGUUGUGGCCAUUUGGAGAAUGAACCAGUGGUUGGAAGACCUUUCUCUCUGUUUUUCCCUCUCUCUGUCUAUAACUCUACCUCUCAAACAAAUGGAUAAAAAUCUUUUUUUUUUUUUCAAAAAUGCUAUUGUUCAUAGGCCAAACGGCUGUCCUAGCCAUCAAGAAGCUGGGGCAGAGCAGAGGAGCCGGUGGUCAUCCCCCGAGUAAAUACGGGAGACACCCGGCUGGGGUGGACAGGGCGGGCUCAACACAUGGCUGUAGAUGUAACAGACUUUAAUCUGCAUUAUUAGUGUUAUCUCCACCUCUUUCUCCAGUCCAGCCUCCAGACUAGAAAAUCAAUGAAACACCUGCUCUGUAUAGCGCAUGCCCACUUCCGUGGUCUAAGUCCUCCUACUGCAGUCAGUUUCCAGCUAGCAACGCGAUGUCACUCAACGCAGUGGGGAAGGACGCUGGACAGCACGUACAGUAUUUGCACCACACUCACACAGUAGCCUCGCGGACACAAGUCCCGGAGAAGAGGUGAAGUUAAUCCGACAGUGCACUGCCAUGUGAGAUUCCUGGAAACUUAGGAGUGAGCUCUCCAAAGCUGGUAUGAUGGCCUGGCUCCAGCCUGCCACAUGGCCUCACCCUGCUCUGAGACCCUGAUGCUGCUUCCUCCGUGAUGACCUCCCUGAUCAUUGCAGGUAGAGACCAUCUCUUCCUCCUGUGUACCCCAAAAAGGUGAGCCCUGGGUCCCAUCUGCCUGUGUCCCCUGGGGCCUGGCACUACACGGGCUGCUUUGCUUGGUGGGCCUGUGUGUAAGCCAUGGGUGGAACCAGUCCUCCCCACCCCAGCUCCAAGGCUUUCCCAGAUUGCCCUGGCGCAUGACCACCACCUCCAUUCUGCCCCCUGCUGGCCACGUGGAAGCCAUUGGACAACUGUUUGGCCUCAGUUUCCCCAUCUGUCAAGUGCUAAGGGAAGAGGGGUGGAAAGAAGGAAUGCAGAGAUACUCUUUCUAGUCCCUUUUCUUGGGCCUGCGGUUGUGGGCCGUCGUGCUCUGUCUGUCCUUGCUGUUUAGUGUCCUGCGGCUUCUCGUGGAACGUGGAAGCAGUUUUCCGUGUUCCCAUGUGGUUUUCACGUCCUCCACUGUGAGAGGGUGCAGGGGAUGUUGUAUUUCAUGGGCCCCAAACUCACUUUACCUUUCCUUAAUUUUGAGACAUCUGUUUGGUUUCCUCCCAUCGCCACCGGCUUGGCGUGUUCUCAUUUCAGACAAGACCUGCUCAGUGAAGACACCGUAGAUUUUACCACUGAUCUGUGUGCUUUCCUCUCCAUUUCCACCAAACACCGGUUGUGUUUGUGCCAGCUGAGAGCACAGAUCUGAAAACCACGCAUUCUUAGUGACUUGCGCCAUCCCCAGCACCAGGCCUCCUGGAAUGUGCAGGCUUUCAGCCCAGACUUUGUGAGCGGACACGACUGCCAUUUGUGCUCUCGGGGUGUCUCGCCCAUCAGUCACCCUGUCAAGCACUGCCUUUGGUGGGGGGGAGCAGUGGGCUGGUUUUGGGAGUCUCUGCUCCUCCCCCAGGAAACCAGACACAAUGACUGAGCUGGCUGGAAUCGCCUGCAAGAAAGCCCACGCACCAAGUGUCAGAGCCCCGAUUCCAGUUAGCACGCAGCUGCCAAGGUCCUACAGGUGUACUGACUUUUUUUUUUUUUAAGAUUUUUAUUUAUUUAUUUAUUUGCAAGGCAGAGUUAUAUAGAAAGAAGGAGAGACAGAGAGAUCUUCCACCGACAGGUUCACUCCUCAAAUGGCUGCAACGGCCAGGGCUGGACCAGGCCUGGAGUGUCAUCUGGGUCUCCCGUGUGGGUGCAGGGACCCAAGCCCUUGGACCACCCUCCACUGCCUUCCCAGGAGCAUUGCCAGGGAGCUGGGUCAGAAGUGGAGCAGCCAGACUCAAACCGGCACCCGUGUGAGAUGCCACCCUCUGCGCCACAGUGCCGGCCCCCGUGCCGCUGUGGGUUUAUAUCCUGACUCUGCUGGGGUCUGGGGGCUGGGGUCUAGGGUCUGGGGUUAGGAUGAGGAUUCAUGAUCCUUAGAGCAGUGAACGUAUUUGGUUGUAGAGAAGUCAUAAGGUUGAACAAACACAGAUGCUGAUACUUCACCUGUGUGCUGAGCUCCAACCCUGCAGUUGGGUCCCUGAGCCCCAGCGUGGCAGUGUGGGGUGUGAGGACAGUGUGAGGGCACUCAGACCCGAGGAGCUUGUGUGCACGGCCAGUCAGGCAGGGCCGCCACUCCCGAGCCCGGUGUGAGGUCUGUGUGACUGGAACCCCGCCGUGCCUGCUCCGUCGCAUGUCUGCUCAUGUUUCCCGUGCAGGAUGUGGGGAAACUGCCUUUAAGUACAAUAAAGGAGCGACGGGCGAUGAGCUCACAAAGCGUUUUGUUUGGGACGGUACCUGUUUGUCUGCGUGACUCUCCCCACAUCACUAAUACUGUCUCUGCAGCCAGGAGCCAGGCCACCCUGUGUGGCAGACACAGGCAUCUCUCUGGAGUUCAGAAGGUCACGACCCAGUCUCCUCAGUUCCUUGUGUUGGACGUGUUCAGGACGAUGGGCCUGCCCACGGGCAAGGGGUCGCUCGUGCCAUCCCCAGGAUCCCUGCGGGUGGCCCUCCAUCCGCGAGGUGUUAGCCUCAGUGAGACAACACAUCAGCACUGGAAUCCUGACUCUGCUGCUGUGUGACCCUGGGUGGGGGGAGGAGUCAUGCAACCCUCUCUGGGCCCAGAAUCCACACACCUAGUGGUGUGGCCUCACACAGGCCCGCCUGUGUGCAACACUGGUUCUUGUUGUAUUCCUUUUGUCCUUAAAGGAAUUGGCCCCUUCUCUGGGCGGAUUUGGUCAUUGCUCUACCCACAUCUACCUACAGCCGAUGUCGGUGCCGCUUUGUGGGAGCACAGAGCUCCAGGCAGCUGGCAGCUGCCUGCCUGCACACAGGAGAACUGAAGGAAGCCAAGCCCCCUCUUUCCAGUCGCUGACGGUGCCCGGAUGUAAGGGAGCUGAGCUCCCUUGUCCCUGGCUAGGAUGACCACCACUGGGAAGACGCAUAACACCUGUGUACAGGCAAGGGGUUGGUUAAACCUACUACUACAUUAGCGGCACCCUUCUUCUUCUUCUUUUAAGGUUUAUUUAUUUAUUUAUUUAAAAGAGUUGGCCGGCGCCGCGGCUCACUUGGCUAAUCCUCCGCCUGCGGCACUGGCACACAGGGUUCUAGUUCUGGUUGGGGCGCUGGAUUCUGUCCCGGUCGCUCCUCUUCCAGUCCAGCUCUCUGCUGUGGCCUGGGAAGGCAGUGGAGGAUGGCCCAAGUGCUUGGGCCCUGCACCCGCAUGGGAGACCAGGAGGAAGCACCUGGCUCCUGGCUUCGGAUCGGCGCAGCGCACCGGCUGCAACACACCGGCUGCAACACACCGGCCGUAGCGGCCACUUGUGGGGUGAACCAAUGGAAAAAGGAAGACCUUUCUCUCUGUCUCUCUGUCUCUCACUGUCUAACUCUGCCUGUCAAAAAAAAGAGAAAGAGUUACACAGAGAGAGAAGGAAAGAGAGAGAGAGCGAGAGAGGUCUUCCAUCUGCUGUGGUUCACUCCCCAAUUGGCUGCAGUGGCCAGAGCUGUGCUGAUCCAAAGCCAGGAGCUUCUUCUAGAUUUCCUACACAGGUACAGGGGCCCAAGGACCUGGGCCACCUUAUACUGCUUUCCCAGGCCAUAACAGAGAGCUGGAUCAGAAGUGGAACGGCUGAGUCUCAAACUGGUGUCCAUGUGGGAUGCCAGCACUGCAGGCGGCAGCUUUACCUGCUAUGCCACAGCACCGGCCCCAGUGUCACCCUUCUUGAAGGUAGUUCCUGUGGUGCAGUUUUGCAAGAAAAAGUCCUCAUUUUCAGGAAAGUCACUGACAUGUUUAGGGGUUAAGGGGUGUGAUGUAUGCAGCUUGUUCUCAAAUGGUUUACAAAAAAUGAUAUAGCUUAGAGAAAAUGGCGAAAAAAGAAAGAGAGAGAGAGAGAGACGACAAUGGUAACAGUUGGUGGAUUUGGUUAAAGGGUAUAAGUGAAUCCUUUAUCCUAAUUCUUGUAACUUUCCUGUAAACCUGAGGUUGUCUCCAAGUAACAAAUUCAGUUUGGGGGCAGGUGUUUAGCUGAGCGAUUGAGACGCCUGCCUCCAUCAGGGUGCCUAAGUGUGACACCGACUCCGGCUCCUGACCCCAGCGUGCGACGCGUGCAGCCCCUGGAGGCAGUGCAGAUAGCUCAGCUGGGUUCCUGCCGCCUGUGUGGGAGACCAGGGGCGAGUACUGGGCUCCUGGCUUCAGCCCAGCCGGGCUGUUGUGGGCAAUUGAGGAAUGAACCAGUAAACAGAACUCUCACUCUUAGAUAAAUAAAUGAUUCAAUAUUUUUAAGUUAACUUCUGUGUAUUAGUUUGAUAUACACAAAGAAUGCAUGUAUAAAAUUGAAGUCCAGGUGAUGGUAUUCCACUCUGGUGUAGACUUGGGUAACUGGCUUCCCGGAUGCUGCAGGGGCUGUUUCCGUGGCAGGCGUGGGUCUCUGAGGUGGGAGACGAUGCCGCUCUUACCACUACCCUCUUGGGAAGCGCCUGCGCAGCCUUGGUCUGUGUGUGGCCUUGUCGAGGCCAAGGGGAUGCUGUUGGAAGUGUGGGACCUCAGAGACACGUUGUGGUUUUCUACUGAGUGAGCAGGUGUAUUGCCAAACCUAUUUCCCCACAAUCACCUGGGAAAGCCAACAGCCGAGUCUGCAGAUGGAGGGGUGGGGAGCAGCUUCAGAGAGGGAGACACCGGCAGGUGGACCUGGUCCCGCUGCACAGGCCAGAGAGGAGACAGGACAGAGGGGAGGGCGCCGAUCGUCCCAGCGCCCUGGGACCACGUGGCAGUCACGGCAGCCCUCAGCUGGGCCCUGCCUCGAGGGCCAGGCUUUCCCAUGCCACCUCCUGCAAGCGUGUUUCUCACUACCGCUGCCCUCACUGUAGAGACGAGAAACAGAGCCUCAGAGAGCGGAGAGGCCCUUCCUGAAGACGCGUUACCUCCUAAGGGCUGGAUUAAAGCCAGACCAGGAGUUUUAGCCCCAAACACCUUUCUGCUGGGCUGGACCUGCUGACCCAUGGAGAGCCUGGGAGAGCCAUGGCUAAGAGUGCCCCUGGGGGAGGGAGGACAGCUCUGCCUGGUGCCUCCUCACUAAACCCCCUCCGCCGCCAUCUGGAACUCCAGUGGCCGCCUCUGGGCAGAUCUCCUCGCCGCCCCUCCCGGCCCCAAGUUGCGCUCCACACAGCCGUCAGCAGCCUUUCCCAACACUGCUCUUGUAUUGCGCCACUCCUCCGCUCUGAUGUGGCCCACCACCGAGGAGGUCACUGCCUCCAUGAUGUCACUCCCUUCCGAUGAGGUCACUCCCUCUAGUGUCGUCACACUUCUCAGAGGAUGCCCUCCCCUGAUGAUGUCACUUCCUCUGGUGAUGUCAUUCCCUCUGAGGAUGCCACCCUCCCUGAAGAUGUCACUCCUUGCUUAAAUACCUUGAAAGACCCUCAGCAUGCAGAAUGAACACUGCACGGUGGACCCCUGGGCGCAGAACUCCCAGGGUCGCUGCUGGGUCCAGGAGCCCCUUUCUGGCUUCUUCCUCUACCUACUGCUGCCAACGAUAACACCUCUUCUGUUUCCUCAGACUGAAAAGUCCUCCCUCGCCCCCCUUCUCCACCUAUCGGAGUCCGCCUGGCUCAGCUCCACCUGUCCCCUCCAUGAAACUACCUCCAGGAUUUCCCUGCCCUUAGCGUCAUCCUCUAGCUCCAGUUUAUGGCCCCCGUAGAACCACGCGCACAUGUCAGCUCUGCAUCUGCCUUGCCCAGCAUCGAGGUGCUUCUCAGGAGAGCGGGCGGCUCCUGGGCCCUGGCCUGGGCUGGCUGCUGCUGCAAGAUGCCAAGUGAGAUGGCACAAGUUGCCCCGCGCAGCCAAAAUUCAUGACCUCGUGUUUUCCAGUAACUUCCGCCACUUCCAUCGAUUCAAGCUUCAGCUGCAACAAAAGUGGACCAAGCCAGGCUGUCUUUGUUAACUGUGUGCAGACAGAGCGGGCUGGCGGCCGGUGUGGGUGGUGUGGCCUCAGUGUCCGCCCUGUGCCCGGGGAAGCGUGCCGCCGGUCCCCAGCACCUGUGAAGCACCCUGGAGCGCCUGGGAGGCCUCUCUGUGUUCCUAAUUUCAUCCUAAACCACCUCAUUGGCUUUAAGGGACAAACUGCCUGAUCCCUUGGAGCUUCUGAGUUUUAUGAGUUCAAAGAUUUUUUUUUCAUGUCUGUAGGUAGGUAGGAGAGAAGGGAAUUUGAGUAUGGGGUGUCGGGCUGUUCUAUUUCCCGGUACCCUCCUCCCCCCAUACACAAUGCAAAUGGCCUGUUCCUUAAGAGUAUAUUCCGUUGCUUUAUUUUUAGUGAGGGGUUGUGAGCUGCUUUCUAGUUUCUUACGUUUUGGAAAGAAUGAAGGACAGGUCGAGGGGACAAAUAUGCGAGAGUGAUGGGUAGGUUUCAAGAAUGUUUACCCAAUGCAGGUAAGAGUCAUUUGUCACUAAAAGGCUCCCCGUCCCCAUCCCUGGGUCAUCCUGCAGAAGGUCAAGUGGCCUCACGCACAGGGCCCAUUCCCCGCAUUCCUGCGGCGGGGGCUUGGCGGCAGGCGAGGCCACUGCUGUCGGGGCUGUCAGGGGCUGUCGGGGGAUUAGGACGGGGUCCCCGAUGCAGGGAUCACUCACCCAGCCCCCACUCUUCCCCACCACAGCUGGGAAGCAGAGGCUUGGGGUUUUAUCUGUUCCAGACAGACCUUUAGAAAAAGAAAGCAGCGGCCGGUAGCUUGAAGUCCAGCCAUUUGGUGACCUCCAAAGACACUCACACCACGAGUCCAGGUUCCUUGCACACAGGCCACACAGCCUGCUGAGUGCCAGCCUUGGCCCAGAGACUCAUCGGCUCGGCGAUCAUGGACAGAAACAUGAGACGGACCCUCAGGGCUCAUGUGUUCAGAAUCCCUCCUGUACAUGUGAGGAAGCUGAUGGCUGCUCUCGGGGAUGCUGUACCUCCCGGCCAGCCUUCCAGGCACCUGUGGGGCAUCAGAAGAGAAGGCCCCGUGAGCCCCCGGCCUGGGAAUCUGCUCGUCUGGAGCGACGUCAGGUGGCAAAGGAGUGAGACACCGUCCCUGUGGGAAAUGGUCCUGUACAGCCCCUCCAAGCAAAGUCUGCUGCAGGCAGGAGUGAUCUUACAGCCUUCCUGUCCCGGGAGGGGACGCUGCCUUCCCCCAGCACAGCCUGCCAUCUCCUGCGGCAGCGCCCCAGUGUCUCAGGUAAGAGCCACCCUCGUUGCCAUUGUUCUGUGGUGACAGCCUCCAGGGCAAAUGGAAAGCUGUCAACCUGAGGGCUGUCAACUGCACACAAGAAUUCCUUUCUUUGUCAGGCUGGGUGGUCUCGCUGGCUUGGGCAUCGACCUGCACAAAAGAGAAGUGUGGUGUGCACUUGCAGGAAGCGCGCCCCCGCCCAGCAGCCCUAACCGCACUGCUUUGUGUGGCCAGGAUUAGCCCGUGCAUGGCUUCCCUUGACUGUGCAGAAGUCAUCAAGUCCCAGCCCAGGAGGGGCAUCCAGAGGUCGUUUGCUCCUUGCCCCCCCCAUCCCAACCCCCACUCCCAGCAUGCUGCCAUCCUGUGGCAUGGCAUGCUGUGGCAUCUGCCUGUUGCGAUUCUUAGCCAUAGACACAAGGAAGGUCCCUUACAGAUCUCCUAGUCCAGCCCUCUUGGGCUACAAGAGGGGGUCAGACACAGGUGGUGACUUGUCGCACGUCACACGGCGCAAGACUUGGGCACAGACGAGACCCGCAUUCUGUGAGCCUUCCUGCUAACUCCAGGCUGCUCCGGUUCAGAAAUGACCCCGCCCCACAGUACUGUGGGAAGUACGGUCGCUACCUUUCCAAUAAAAGGAGUCUCUGUGUGUGUAUACAUACGUGUGUGUGUGUGUGUGCAUCUAUGUGUACAUAUGUGUAUUCCCCUGUGUGUAGAUACAUGCACACACGCAUGUGUGUAUAUGUAUGUGUGUGCCUGAAUGUGUGCAUGCAUUUGUACAUGUGUGUGUACGUCUCUGUGUAUGUCUGUGUGUGUGUUUAAACAUACACACUUGGUGGCUCUCCGACGGCCAGUGGAUAAAGGCUUUCUUGUGUUUGCAGCCAGGGACACCUGAGACCUGGGUUGUUUGCCUGUGUUGUUUGUAGAAUGGUUUGGUGCCCUCUGCUGUUUGUCAGUAACAAUCCUUAGGCUUCCCAGACACCUGCUGUGUGGGACGGUCAACACACUCCAAGUUUGAAUGCAGGGUAGGCAGUUUUAUCCCCACCCUAAAGACAAGAAACCUGAGGCUCUGAAGCAUUUAAUAAUCUGCCCAAAUUGAUCAAGCCUGGAUUUGAACCCAGCCCAGUGGGGUUGUGGUUUCCUUCUUCUGUUCUGUGUCGAUAUACUCAUCACAAUCCUUCAGUCUUUUUUUUUUUAAGUCCAAAAGGCACAGAAACCGUUAUCUCUUCUGUUGAGGAACAGUGUUUUUUUCUUCUUACUGUUUGUUGAACUCUAUUUAGUGUAGGGUUAAUCUUAUGAGUACAAAGUAAACUGAAAGUAGAUCAUUGUAAAAAUAAAAGUGGCGAUAGGAGAGGAAGGAGGAGGAAGGGUGGGAAGAAUCACUAUGUCCCUAAUUCUGUGUGUGGGGAGCAACUGCGACUAGACUAAGUUACUGGAAUUAAGAUUUAUUCUAUGCAUCUGCUCUCCCACAAUGUGGCGCGGAGAGAGGACCAAACAACUUCUACGCAGCUGCCUCUCGCCAGUUUGACUGAUGAGCUGCAGGAGCUGAUCCUGCUCCUGAUUGGAGGAGAGCAGCGUGCUCGGCGUGUGGGUAGCAGAGUUGGGAUUGGUGGAAGAGGACUAUAAAGGAGGAGAGAGACAACAUGCACCAGGAACACCUGAGGAACAUCUGAGCAGCCCCCGAGAGAGCCGGCCGGCGGUGUGCCGCUCCUUCGCGGAAGUGGGGAAAGCAGCGGGGGGUGCUGCCCCUCCAGCAGCUAACCUGGGAUGGCGUCGUCCUUCCACGAGUGAGCGAAUGAGCAGCAGCUAACCCGGGAAGGGCCGGGCAAAAGAACAGCGCCGGGUCCUGUGUCGUUCCUCUGUGAAUGGGGGAGC